GAUGAACGCUGGCGGCGUGCCUAAUACAUGCAAGUCGAGCGAACAGACGAGGAGCUUGCUCCUCUGACGUUAGCGGCGGACGGGUGAGUAACACGUGGAUAACCUACCUAUAAGACUGGGAUAACUUCGGGAAACCGGAGCUAAUACCGGAUAACAUGUUGAACCGCAUGGUUCAACAGUGAAAGACGGUCUUGCUGUCACUUAUAGAUGGAUCCGCGCCGCAUUAGCUAGUUGGUAAGGUAACGGCUUACCAAGGCAACGAUGCGUAGCCGACCUGAGAGGGUGAUCGGCCACACUGGAACUGAGACACGGUCCAGACUCCUGCGGGAGGCAGCAGUAGGGAAUCUGCCGCAAUGGGCGAAAGCAUGACGGAGCAACGCCACGUGAGUGAAGAAGGUCUUCGGAUCGUAAAACUCUGUUAUUAGGGAAGAACAAAUGUGUAAGUAACUAUGCACGUCUUGACGGUACCUAAUCAGAAAGCCACGGCUAACUACGUG
rnacentral:rRNA from 1 species